UACGGAGGGUGCAAGCGUUGUCCGGAAUUACUGGGCGUAAAGCGCACGUAGGCGGCUCUUUAAGUCGGGGGUGAAAUCCUGGAGCUCAACUCCAGAACUGCCUUCGAUACUGAAGAGCUCGAGUCCGGGAGAGGUGAGUGGAACUGCGAGUGUAGAGGUGAAAUUCGUAGAUAUUCGCAAGAACACCAGUGGCGAAGGCGGCUCACUGGCCCGGUACUGACGCUGAGGUGCGAAAGCGUGGGGAGCAAACAGG
rnacentral:rRNA from 1 species